CGAGUGGCGGACGGGUGAGUAACGCGUAGGAACCUAUCGCACAGUGGGGGAUAACACGGGGAAACCGGUGCUAAUACCGCAUGUGGUCAGUGAUGAAAAAAGCGAGCAAUCGCGCUGUGUGAGGGGCCUGCGUCCGAUUAGCUAGUUGGUGGGGUAACGGCCUACCAAGGCGACGAUCGUUAGGUGGUCUGAGAGGACGAUCACCCAGACUGGGACUGAGACACGGCCCAG
rnacentral:rRNA from 1 species